GAUGAAGAACGUAGCGGAAUGCGAUAAGUAAUGUGAAUUGCAGAAUUCAGUGAAUCAUCGAAUCUUUGAACGCACAUUGCGCCCCCUGGUAUUCCGGGGGGCAUGCCUGUUCGAGCGUCAUUUCACCACUCAAGCCUCGCUUGGUAUUGGGCAACGCGGUCCGCCGCGUGCCUCAAAUCGACCGGCUGGGUCUUCUGUCCCCUAAGCGUUGUGGAAACUAUUCGCUAAAGGGUGUUCGGGAGGCUACGCCGUAAAACAACCCCAUUUCUAAGGUUGACCUCGGAUCAGGUAGGGAUACCCGCUGAACUUAAGCAUAUCAAUAAGCGGAGGA
rnacentral:misc_RNA from 1 species